rnacentral:rRNA from 1 species
GAUGAACGCUAGCGGCAGGCUUAACACAUGCAAGUCGAGGGGUAUGAGAAGCUUGCUUCCCGGAGACCGGCGCACGGGUGCGUAACGCGUAUGCAACCUACCUUGAACAGGGGGAUAGCCCAGAGAAAUUUGGAUUAAUACCCCAUGGUAUAUUUGAGUGGCAUCACUCGACUAUUAAAGUUCCAACGGUUCAAGAUGGG